ACAGCUGAGCCUGCUGCGGUUGCUGCUGACUUCAAAGGCACUGCUUCCCUUGGAUCCACAUCAAGGACUGGAAUGAGAAAAGGGUCCCCUGACCUUCUUAUACUGCAGUGCCUUUGAGGACAAAGCUGAAGGAGCUCCCGUCUCAGAAUGAUGCCAUUUAGCUCGAGGGCCUGCUCCCUCUGGCUUGAUGGCCUGUCCAGAAGGCUCUGCCAGUGCCCAGAUGUAAACAUCUCUCCAGCAGCGUUGCCACGUGGAACCCUCACGCUGCUGGUCCCUGAGAAGCCACACGGGGAACUUGCCUUCCUCUGCCCUCCUCCCAGGCCCAGGCCUUGACCUACCUGGUUUAUAUUUAUACCUCAGCCUGAAUCCUCACACUGCUAUUCUUUUCUUCUUCCUAGUCACCUCGCCUAAGUGUCCCCAGCGGUGCUCUGCAGAGCAGAGGCCCCAGCUCCAAAACAACAGAACACAAAGUACUUUAACCUUUGAAUGUGGCAAGACCUCCGUGAAAAAUCGUUUCUCAGCCCAUUUGAUGGGAAAAGGGUGCUAUUUUUGUGACUACCUGUAACAUCUGAGUAUGCUCGUCAGAAGUCACUCCGAGGAAAAAUCUGAUUAUUAGUUGGGAAAAUGGGGCAAGGAGGAGGCAGAGAAGAGAAGUAGCUCUGCUGGGUAUGUGGCAGUGUGACUUCUAGAACUGUUUGUGUCCAUGUGGACUUGGACAAGCCACUUCAGGACUCUGGGUCUGGGUCUUCUCAUCCAAAACAAGGUAGGGAAGAGCCGCGCAGCCAGCAGAGCUGCUGCCUUCAGCACUGGGGACCCCAGGGCAGACAUAGGGCUUCUGCCUUCUGCCCAUUCCACAUGCUGGAGUCCUCCUCGGGGUGCAGUCCUGGCAAGCGUGUGUGUCUGUGGUCAAGACGACAGACCUUUCCUGCCAUUGCUUUAGUGGGAAAAUUGCAGAAAAAGGACUACAAACACCUCUGCAGUCUUCCUUUGAUUAAUGAAAUCAGGGCAUUACUCAGAAUUGCUCCUGGGGGCGCAGUGACCCACGCAUGUAACCCAGUAUUUUGGGAGGCUGAGGCAGGUGGAUCACAUGAGGUCAGGAGUUCGAGACCAGCCUGGCCAACAUGGUGACACUCUUCUCUACCAAAAAGGCAAAAAUUAGCCGGGUGUGGUGGAGGGCACCUGUAAUUCCAGCUGCUUGGGAGGCUGAGGCAGGAGGGUCACUUGAACCUGGGAGGCAGAGGUUGCAGUGAGCCAAGAUCACGCCACUGCACUCCAGCCUAGGUGACAGAGCAAGACUCCAUCUCAAAAAAAAAAAAAAUGCCCCUGGGAUGUGUAUUAAUCACAGGUUAAUGACUUACAAAUUCAUAUCGUGUCAUAUGUAUGACAGAUUAUAUUUAGAUGUAUUUAUAUUACAUGUAUGACACUACAUGAGUACAAAUUACAGGUGUUUGUACAGAUAUUUGUAUAUUUAUUAAAAAUAUCUAUUAUAAGUAUAGAUAGGUAAUUACCUACUAUUUUAUAGGUAUUUGUCUCUAUAGACACAUAUAUAUGGACAGGUUUUUUUGUGUGUAUAUAUAUAUAUGCACACAUAUAUAUAACACUAUAUCAAUACAAAUCACAGGUAUUUUUAUAUAUAUUACAAAUACCUAUUAGAGAUAUGUAUUAGUAAAUGUCAUAUACAUAUUUAUAUAUAUAUACAUGUAAAUAUAUAGGUAUUUGUGUGUAUAUGACACUAUAUGAAUACAAAUCACAGGCAUAUACUUACACACAGAUACGGAGUCACCCAAGGAUUCCCUAUAAGGCCAUGGACAAAAAGCAUGUGUCUCCCAUGGUGGACUGAAUUGUGUCACCCUCAAAAGAUACACUGAAGUCCUAACCCUGGUACCUGUGAAUAUGACCUUAUUUUUGAAAUAAAAAUAUAUUUGCAGAUGUAAUUAUGAUGUAGGUGGAGAUGAGAUUAUUCUGGAGUAGGGUGGGCCCUCAAUCCAAUACGGCUGGUGUCCUUAUAAGAAGAGGGGAGAGGAACAGAGACAGACACUGUCAUCCACAAGGAGACCACCAUGUGAAGACACAGAUGCAUAGGGAAGGGCCACGUGAAGAUGACAGCAGUGACGGGAGUGGGGCAGCUACAAGCCAAGGAAUGUGGAGGAGUGCCGGCCACCACCAGAAGCUGAGAAGAGGCAAGGAAGGACCCUUCCCCACAGCCUUUAGGAGGAACAUGGCCCUGCCGAAACCUUGAUAUCACACCUCUAGCCUCCAGAACAACGAUGCAAUCAAUUUCUGUUGUUUUCAGACACUCAGUAAAGUACCCGCGUGGCUAGGGGAGCCCUAGGAAGCGAGUAUAGCUCUCGUGGCCGAAUGGAAUGAAGCGAAGCCUUCAUGUCAGCAUUGGGCUUGCAGGUGCUGAGCCCCCGAUGGUGGCCCCUCUUCCCGGCUUUCUCUCAGGGGCAUGGGUGGGGUGGAGAUAUUCAACUACUUCCAACGGAAACCAACACUUGAAAGGUUAUGAAGGCCCCUAAACCUCCUGCUCUUCCAUGGUGAUGGCUGACAGCUAAAGCCACACUGCCACUACCCUAAGCCCAAGCUUGAUCACCUGGAAAUGGGGACUGAGAGAGGACGAGAACAGCACAGCCUUUGAGCUCUCAUGGGGUGGCGUAAAUUUAUGGUCAAUAUGCCUCCAGAUCAGAGGUCCUGCUGUUAGAGAGUUUUCUUUUUUUGCUUUAGUGGUACACAGGAAUUCUCCCCCAGCCCCCUCAAGAUACUCACACAUCUUUUUAAAAUUUGCACCUUUUUUUCAGUCUGGUUUCCUAUGGUGAAGGGGAGGCUAGGAAAUGCCCAAUAAAUCAUCUGUCUGUCUUCACUCAAUUGAAAGGCAGGAAAUGCAGAGAACAGUCACGUUACCUUUCCACUUUGCAUAUAACAAGAGCUAUCAGGACCUGUUCCUUUGAAGGGGAGGCCCUUCUGACAGCAAUAUUAAAUUUUCGAGGCCACUGGAGUUUGUUUCUUGGGACCAGACCCAAAGUGGGCAGGCAUGUGGGAUGUUGGCUCUUUCCCCUACCAGCCCCUUCUAGGAGUAACUUCUUGGGCUUACCCUGGGAAAUCUACUCAGUCAGCAAUGAUUUAGGGGCUCCAUGUGCACAGCACCAUUGUAAGUCUAUGUGGAUUAAAGGAAUUCUACUCUUGAGUCCUAAUUCUUAACAAAUUUACAUCUACAGACAGUCCUAGACUUAUAAUGAUUCAACUAAAUGAUUCCUUGACUUUAUGAUGGUGUGAAACUUCCAAUUUUAAC
rnacentral:lncRNA from 1 species